rnacentral:rRNA from 1 species
UUGACCUCGGAUCAGGUAGGGAUACCCGCUGAACUUAAGCAUAUCAAUAAGCGGAGGAAAAGAAACCAACAGGGAUUGCCCUAGUAACGGCGAGUGAAGCGGCAACAGCUCAAAUUUGAAAUCUGGCUCUUUCAGAGUCCGAGUUGUAAUUUGCAGAGGGUGCUUUGGUGGUAGUUGCGGUCUAAGUUCUUUGGAACAGGACGUCACAGAGGGUGAGAAUCCCGUAUGUGGUCGCUACUUAUCACCGUGUAAAGCCCCUUCGACGAGUCGAGUUGUUUGGGAAUGCAGCUCUAAAUGGGAGGUAAAUUUCUUCUAAAGCUAAAUACUGGCCAGAGACCGAUAGCGCACAAGUAGAGUGAUCGAAAGAUGAAAAGCACUUUGGAAAGAGAGUCAAAUAGCACGUGAAAUUGUUGAAAGGGAAGCGCUUGCAGCCAGACUUGCCUGUAGUUGCUUACCUAGACUUUUGUCUGGGGUACUCUUCUGCAGGCAGGCCAGCAUCAGUUUGGGCGGUUGGAUAAAGGUCUCUGUCACGUACCUCCUUUCGGGGAGGCCUUAUAGGGGAGACGUCAUACAACCAGCCUGGACUGAGUCCGC